UCUAGAAUCCCUUCAGGCGUUACUCACCUAGUGUUGUGAGUAACGUUGAGGAAUUUUAGAAC
rnacentral:pre_miRNA from 1 species